GAUGAAGAACGUAGCGAAUUGCGAUAAGUAAUGUGAAUUGCAGAAUUCCGUGAAUCAUCGAGUCUUUGAACGCACAUUGCGCCUCAUGGCAUUCCGUGAGGCAUGCCCAUCUCAGCGUUAGAAAAUAUUCUCAAAUUUUAGUUUUGUGCUAAAAUUUGGAUCAUGUCAAGGAAGCUAUUACUAUUAUUGUGAUCGCUCUUUGGAAAUUGAUAGGUCUUUGAGUUGCUACUCAUAGAACGUGAUGAAUCUUUCUUCGUUCUAUUGUAAUUCACUCUGGUAGUCCUAAAACUUGUAUGCCUGUGGCAUAUCUUGUAAUUUGACCUGAGAUUGGGUAGGGAUACCCGCUGAACUUAAGCAUAUCAAUAAGCGGAGGA
rnacentral:misc_RNA from 1 species